UAGGUCCUUCUCUUCUAAGAC
rnacentral:tRNA from 1 species